rnacentral:rRNA from 1 species
UACAGAGGUCUCAAGCGUUGUUCGGAUUCAUUGGGCGUAAAGGGUGCGUAGGCGGCGCGGUAAGUCGGGUGUGAAAUCUUGGAGCUUAACUCCGAAACUGCAUUCGAUACUGCGGUGCUUGAGGACUGGAGAGGAGACUGGAAUUCAUGGUGUAGCAGUGAAAUGCGCAGAUAUCAGGAGGAACACCCGUGGCGAAAGCGGCUCUCUGGGACGGUACUGACGCUGAGACGCGAAAGCGUGGGGAGCGAACGGG